rnacentral:snRNA from 1 species
GGAUAUGAGGGUGAUCUGUCAUCCCAUUGAUCACCAGGGUCGAUUCGGCUGAUCUGGCUGGCUAGGUGGGUGUCCCCUUCCUCCCUCACCGUUCCAUGUGCAUCCCUCCCAAAAUAUAGAAACAGAGGCCAGGGUAGUGGCCCAAUGCUAGAGCACACGCCCUGGGUUUGAUCUGUGGCAUUGCUUAUGACUCAGUGGAGGUUUGGUUUCUUUCUCUCUCAAGAUAAAUAAAAAUCUUUUUUUUUUUAAAUGGAGAAAUGAUUUAA